UGCUAGGACAGUAAAGCAUGGAACUUUGUGAUAAUUCUUACUGCAGAUUUGAUUUGAUGAAGAACAGGAAUUCAGUUUGUAGAUCUCGUAAACUUUCCCUCCCGAAGUGUUGUGGAUGCACGUGCAGUAAUAACACUCUGGUAUUGACUCGGCGUGAACAUUUCCAUGCACAAUACCACUGGUUCACCGUGUGGAGGACAGGCAUGGGCUGGGAGGGCGGCUGUUCUUGACAUUACUGCCGCCCAUCGACAACUGGAAAAUGGAGGUUUGAAGGGAUGUGGGACGGAGCGGGUGGUGCGUGAGGCCUGGCCACCAUCCUGCGGGGUAGCGUGGGCCCAGAGGAGGGGCAGGCCUGCAGACUAACGUGGGCCAGAGGAGUGGGGCUGGCCUGCAGGAUGGCUCUCCGUUUGAACCGUGGAACUUCACCCUACUCAUUUCACGCGCCGAAUCACUUAAAGCCACCUCCUUGUUGUCCCUUACACCAUAGCUUUGUUUUGAGAGGAGUGCGCUGCGCGAUACGGCCCCACGUCCUGAAAUUGAAUUAUACUACGAGAACCAGACGGCUUGCAUAUCAUAUCAUAUAAUAUAAUGUGUGUGUGUGUGUGUUGUGGACCAUGUGAGAGGUCUGAUGCUCAGUUAGUGUGUGGGUGGAAACAUCGACUGUCCACUCUUGAUGGUCUUUCUAUGUCUUUCUCGUGUAACGUUUUUUAGUCACAGCGCCACACCAUGUAACAAGAAGCGCUCCCCACUCUGGCGUCACGGGGAUGGCCACCCCAGCUCGUGCUGCGGGUCUCAAGAUGCGGCCGAUGCUGGGGAACAGCGCUUUUCCUUGUUUUUUUCUUCUAAAAUGAUUACAACAGUCACA